rnacentral:piRNA from 1 species
UUGGUGUUGGUGUCACCCAUGGUGACGUG